UGUUGUUCUUGUAGUAAGGUUUCGUUUGAGAUGACUUUCUUACCUCUUUUUAAAGCAGUUUUCUUUAGCAUGGGUUUGGACGCGAUAUCAAUAUUUUUCAAAAACAAUUUGGAUUCAUGGCGGGUAGUUCUACUAUGGAAGUUAUACAUUAGUUGAGAGAUUUGAUGGAGAAGUAUAUUUAGAGCAAGGAGGAUCUACGUUUGAUUUUUAUUGAUAAAAAUGUUUUCUGUACGAUUUAAGAUACUUUUUUUCGACCUCUUUCUACCACUCGGUAUCCUAACCUUCCUAACCUCAACAUUUCCUUGAAGUUCAGUUAACAUGGUACCCAAAUUUUAUGAAUUCCAAGAAUCUCUCUCCCUCUCAAUGUUUGGAUUGGGCAACGACGAAAUCCAUCGCAGGAGAUCUUGCUCACCCUAUGUAGCUUGGAUGGCCCGUGCAUCUGCGGGCAACUGCCACUUCCUUGUUUCUCUGGUAGGGAUUUGAUGGUUGGAUCUGCUUGUUGAUUGAACAAAGGUGAAUCUGAGCCUAUAUCCUUUACCACUUCUCUAUAAAAAUAUGUUUUAUUUGUCCAAGGAAACUACUGACCACUUAGUGUGGAUUAUUUCUUACGAUUUUGCCCAAGUUGGAGUCAAUCCUUUUUCUCCGGCGCCACCGAGUUAUCUAUAUAUAAAAAUGGAGGCCCAAAGACUCUUACCGAGUAUUGCUCCACUCCC